GCAGUUCAGUACAACAGGUUGCAGCUCCCGAACCUGCUAUCACUGUACGUCAUUCCGCAACAUCUACCUUGGCCCCUGCACCCGUGUGCACAACAAAUCGGGAACAACAAACAGAACUGUUUUGCAGAGGUGCCCGUGCAUCUCAAUCUACUGCAGCCACAUCGUCUACAAUGUCUGUACCAGAGAUGUCUGUACCAGAUGAGCCACAGCAAAGGGCAAGAUGUCAUACACGUACGAGUUUGCU